UACGUAGGGUGCGAGCGUUAAUCGGAAUUACUGGGCGUAAAGCGUGCGCAGGCGGUUUGCUAAGACCGAUGUGGAAUCCCCGGGCUCAACCUGGGAACUGCAUUGGUGACUGGCAGGCUAGAGUAUGGCAGAGGGGGGUAGAAUUCCACGUGUAGCAGUGAAAUGCGUAGAGAUGUGGAGGAAUACCGAUGGCGAAGGCAGCCCCCUGGGCCAAUACUGACGCUCAUGCACGAAAGCGUGGGGAGCAAACAGG
rnacentral:rRNA from 1 species